rnacentral:rRNA from 1 species
GUAACACGUGGGUAACCUGCCUUAUAGUGGGGGAGUAGCCUUUCGAAAGGAAGAUUAAUACCGCAUAAGAUUGUAGUAUCGCAUGAUAUAGCAAUUAAAGGAGCAAUCCGCUAUAAGAUGGACCCGCGUCGCAUUAGCUAGUUGGUGAGGUAAUGGCUCACCAAGGCGACGAUGCGUAGCCGACCUGAGAGGGUGAACGGCCACAUUGGGACUGAGACACGGCCCAGACUCCUACGGGAGGCAGCAUG